rnacentral:misc_RNA from 1 species
GUGUCGUGACCUUGGCGAAACUAAACGAUAAUUACACCGAAUAAAUAGUGGAGACCCUGCGACUCGUCCUAGCGCCACAGACGCAGCUACUGAUCGUCAACGACUGUCUGCAGUCCCGCUCUUCAGCAACAUGGCCGCCGCAGUGCCCCUGCCGCAACCUCUGCUCGACCCUUCGGAAUUGCUCAGGCCGGAGCCCCUAUACGCAGGGAAGCCCGUCUCGCAGUUCCGCGACUACACCAUCGACGAGAAUGACCCAGUCAAGGAGCGAGUGCGCAAGCUCUACCUCGCCAUGCACACGCACCAGACCGUGGACUUUGUCAAGAGUCGGCACGAGAAGUGGCGCAAGUUCGACAAGUUCCGCGCCCCAGUGCUGGAAGCCCUCGACACGCUGAACAAGCUGGUGGACGAGAGUGACCCGGACGUCGACGUGCCCAACAUCGUGCACGCCUACCAGACGGCCGAACGCAUCCGCGAGGACUUCCCGGACUGCGAGUGGCUGCAGCUCACUGGACUCAUACACGACCUGGGCAAGUUCAUGGCGUUCUACGAUGAGCCUCAGUGGGCCGUUGUAGGCGAUACUUUCCCAGUGGGCUGCGCCUGGGCCGACUCCAUCGUCUACAGGGACACCAGCUUCGUCGACAACCCGGACGGCAAGGACCCACGAUACAACACCAAGUACGGCAUGUACAAACCGCACUGUGGACUGAACAACGUGCUGAUGUCGUGGGGCCAUGACGAGUACCUUUACCACGCUCUCAGGCAUAACGGCUCCAAGCUGCCAGAAAUAGCGCACAGAAUCAUACGCUUCCACUCCUUCUACCCGUGGUACACCAACGGGGAAUACAUGCACCUCUGCAACGAGGAGGAUAUGGAAACCCUCAAGUGGGUUAAGGUGUUCAACAAGUACGAUCUGUACACGAAGAGCGACGAGAGGCCAGACAUAGACGCGCUCAAGCCGUACUAUCAGAGCCUCGUAGACAAGUACCUGCCUGGAACGCUCAGCUGGUAGUGUUCCAUGUGUCCGACGGGUCUGCGGUUGUUUCCAUGGCCUAAAUAAGUGUUUGAAAAUAUUAUCAUAGCAAGUUUUAUAUGUAAAUGUAUUUAGUUGCCCUAUUAUGAGAAUGAUGUUACCUAUUACGUGGUCACACUAAAACAUAGUCCUCAUAUUACAAUCAAGCAGAUAUCUAA